UCCGGGGGGGGCAAGCGUUGUUCGGAAUUACUGGGCGUAAAGGGCUCGUAGGCGGCCAACUAAGUCGGACGUGAAAUCCCCAGGCUCAACCUGGGAACUGCGUCCGAUACUGGAUGGCUUGAAUUCGGGAGAGGGAUGCAGAAUUCCAGGUGUAGCGGUGAAAUGCGUAGAUAUCUGGAGGAAUACCGGUGGCGAAGGCGGCAUCCUGGACCGACAUUGACGCUGAGGCGCGAAAGCCAGGGGAGCGAACAGG
rnacentral:rRNA from 1 species